rnacentral:rRNA from 1 species
GAUGAACGCUAGCUACAGGCUUAACACAUGCAAGUCGAGGGGAAACGACAUCGAAAGCUUGCUUUUGAUGGGCGUCGACCGGCGCACGGGUGAGUAACGCGUAUCCAACCUGCCCAUCACUUGGGGAUAACCUUGCGAAAGUAAGACUAAUACCCAAUGAUAUCUCUAGAAGACAUCUGAAAGAGAUUAAAGAUUUAUCGGUGAUGGAUGGGGAUGCGUCUGAUUAGCUUGUUGGCGGGGUAACGGCCCACCAAGGGAACGAUCAGUAGGGGUUCUGAGAGGAAGGUCACCCACAUUGGAACUGAGACACGGUCCAAACUCCUACGGGAGGCAGCAGUGAGGAAGAUUGGUCAAUGGGAGAGAGCCUGAACCAGCCAAGUAGCGUGCAGGAAGACGGCCCUAUGGGUUGUAAACUGCUUUUAUAAGGGAAUAAAGUGAGAGUCGUGACUCUUUUUGUAUGUACCUUAUGAAUAAGGACCGGCUAAUUCCGUG